UAUAUGUUCCUGCAUCAGGCCAGGAAACAAAUUUGUGUCCAUCACCUUAGUCUUCUUGGAGGCAAAACACCUGGAGACGCCAUCCGGAGGGUGUUAAGAGCAAUUGCACUCAACUGUGUCUUGAGUCAGUACAGUUUGAAGGGAAGGGCAGGAAGGGGAAAAUCAGUUUCCAAGAGCUAAAUAUUUGCAGUGUGAUCAUUCAAAUUUGCCAAAAGAUGUACCCAAAGGUGCCCGUCAAGGUAUUAGAGGAAUACAUUUCAGACACCUUGAAGUACGCUCCUCAUCAGGAAUCAAGGACGGAGCAUGAGGAGACACAGACUGGACCACAGACUGGACCACACCCUGAAGAGUGGACCACAGACUGGACCACAGUGCUACUUUGGCACCAGAACUGUUUCCUUUUCAUUAAAAUGUUAAGACAAUUUUCUUGAUAAUCAUUUUCAACUUUUUGAUGUGCUGUAAAAGUGUGCAGUUAUAUAAUAAAAAGUGGGCACUUGUAAUUCACAUGGUUGUGUAAAGAAAUAUAGU